AAGACUAUAGACCUGCGGAGUACCUGCGGAAGGAUCAUUAACGUAUCUAUGAUGGGGUGCGGAGCGCCCUGCUCCGGUCGAACGGCCGUGCAGCGGGUGCGCCACCCCCGUCCCACCUCACAAACCCACUGUGAACAUUCACCGGUGGAGGGGGCUCGGUCUGCGCCGUGUCCCCGAUGCCGAAUACCCAAACUCCAGUUGCAAAGAACGUCGUGCGGACUCGGUGCCGCCUAAAACAUG
rnacentral:misc_RNA from 1 species